rnacentral:rRNA from 1 species
GGCUGCAACUCGCCUACAUGAAGUUGGAAUCGCUAGUAAUCGCGAAUCAGAAUGUCGCGGUGAAUACGUUCCCGGGUCUUGUACACACCGCCCGUCACACCACGAGAGUUUACAACACCCGAAGUCAGUGGCCUAACCGCAAGGAGGGAGCUGCCUAAGGUGGGGUAGAUGAUUGGGGUGAAGUCGUAACAAGGUAGC